rnacentral:rRNA from 1 species
AACGAACGCUGGCGGCAGGCUUAACACAUGCAAGUCGAACGCCCCGCAAGGGGAGUGGCAGACGGGUGAGUAACGCGUGGGAAUCUACCCAGUUCUACAGAACAACUGAGGGAAACUUCAGCUAAUACCGUAUACGCCCUAAGGGGGAAAGAUUUAUCGGAAUUGGAUGAGCCCGCGUUGGAUUAGCUAGUUGGUGAGGUAAUGGCUCACCAAGGCGACGAUCCAUAGCUGGUCUGAGAGGAUGAUCAGCCACACUGGGACUGAGACACGGCCCAGACUCCUACGGGAGGCAGCAGUGGGGAAUAUUGGACAAUGGGCGCAAGCCUGAUCCAGCCAUGCCGCGUGAGUGAUGAAGGCCUUAGGGUUGUAAAGCUCUUUCAGUGAGGACGAUAAUGACGGUACCCACAGAAGAAGCCCCGGCUAACUUCGUGCCAGCCGCCGCAGUAAGAC